rnacentral:rRNA from 1 species
GAAAGGCGCUUUCGGGUGUCGCUGAUGGAUGGACCCGCGGUGCAUUAGCUAGUUGGUGAGGUAACGGCUCACCAAGGCGACGAUGCAUAGCCGACCUGAGAGGGUGAUCGGCCACAUUGGGACUGAGACACGGCCCAAACUCCUACGGGAGGCAGCAGUAGGGAAUCUUCGGCAAUGGACGAAAGUCUGACCGAGCAACGCCGCGUGAGUGAAGAAGGUUUUCGGAUCGUAAAACUCUGUUGUUAGAGAAGAACAAGGAUGAGAGUAACUGUUCAUCCCUUGACGGUAUCUAACCAGAAAGCCACGGCUAACUACGUGCCAGCAGCCGCGGUAAUACGUAGGUGGCAAGCGUUGUCCGGAUUUAUUGGGCGUAAAGCGAGCGCAGGCGGUUUCUUAAGUCUGAUGUGAAAGCCCCCGGCUCAACCGGGGAGGGUCAUUGGAAACUGGGAGACUUGAGUGCAGAAGAGGAGAGUGGAAUUCCAUGUGUAGCGGUGAAAUGCGUAGAUAUAUGGAGGAACACCAGUGGCGAAGGCGGCUCUCUGGUCUGUAACUGACGCUGAGGCUCGAAAGCGUGGGGAGCAAACAGGAUUAGAUACCCUGGUAGUCCACGCCGC